rnacentral:rRNA from 1 species
UACGGAGGGAGCUAGCGUUGUUCGGAAUUACUGGGCGUAAAGCGCACGUAGGCGGCUUUGCAAGUUAGAGGUGAAAGCCUGGAGCUCAACUCCAGAAUUGCCUUUAAGACUGCAUCGCUUGAAUCCGGGAGAGGUAGGUGGAAUUCCGGGUGUAGAGGUAAAAUUCGUAGAUAUUCGGAAGAACACCAGUGGCGAAGGCGGCCCACUGGACCGGUAUUGACGCUGAGGUGCGAAAGCGUGGGGAGCAAACAGG